GGGGAGACGAAGGGGGGCUUCCUGAGAGGGCAGGGGGAGGGGGGCAAGGAGGGGGGAACUGGAGGGCGGAAGGGAGGGGGAGCGCGUGCUGGAAGAGAGUCGCUGGGAAGACUUGUCUUGUUUUCUUUGAGGGGGGAGGCGUCCGUGCCCCCCCCCCGCCAUUCCAGAUCAGCGCCGGCUGGGCGAAGAGCCCCUCGCUGGCUCCGUGGAAUUCCGCGCCCCCGGGGCCCGCNGCCCGGUUUGCCGCCCUAAGAACCUUGCCAGGUGUUUGUGGGUCUGAGAAGUCUGGCAUGAACUCUUCAAAGGGAUCCCUGAAAUCCAUAAGGAAACAGAAGGGAUCUCUACUGCAUGGAACUCCGUAUGACCAACUGCUUCAUGCAUGACCCUUGAAUCUGGUAUGGUGUGUCCCUAACUCUGUUCUAUGAAUAAAGAUACAACUGUAA
rnacentral:lncRNA from 1 species